rnacentral:rRNA from 1 species
GAUGAACGCUGGCGGCGUGCCUAAUACAUGCCAGUCGAGCGAACGGACGAGAAGCUUGCUUCUCUGAUGUUAGCGGCGGACGGGUGAGUAACACGUGGAUAACCUACCUAUAAGACUGGGAUAACUUCGGGAAACCGUAGCUAAUACCGGAUAAUAUUUUGAGCCGCAUGGUUCAAAAGUGAAAGACGGUCUUGCUGUCACUUAUAGAUGGAUCCGCGCUGCAUUAGCUAGUUGGUAAGGUAACGGCUUACCAAGGCAACGAUGCAUAGCCGACCUGAGAGGGUGAUCGGCCACACUGGAACUGAGACACGGUCCAGACUCCUACGGGAGGCAGCAGUAGGGAAUCUUCCGCAAUGGGCGAAAGCCUGACGGAGCAACGCCGCGUGAGUGAUGAAGGUCUUCGGAUCGUAAAACUCUGUUAUUAGGGAAGAACAUAUGUGUAAGUAACUGUGCACAUCUUGACGGUACCUAAUCAGAAAGCCACGGCUAACUACGUG